UGGCUACCGACCGGGAGGGCGGCGACGGGGAGCUGUCGGGGAGGCGGGCAGCAGGGGGCCGCUCUUCGCGGCCGGCGCGCUCGAGGGCGGACUUCACCUUCUCUAGGGUGCACACGCUGCGGUGACCCAAGGGUGUCGCCGCCGCCCACUGCUUCAGAAAGAGGGUGGCGGAGGAUCGCGGAGGGAGUGUGAGGUUGGGGUCGUGGCGAUGAAUAGGCACCGGAUCAUGGUGGCGCUUCUGGAGGUUCAUUCGAUUACAGUACCGCUAAUGCUGCAGUAGUAGAGAUGACACAAAGGGGGUGAUCUCUUGGUCAUGCAAGUAUCCCAGGAAGAGAAGUUUAUUAUUAAAGAUGU